AUUGAACGCUGGCGGCAGGCCUAACACAUGCAAGUCGAGCGAGCGGCGGACGGGUGAGUAAUGUAUGGGGACUGCCCGAUAGCUGGGGAUAACUACUGGAAACGGUAGCUAAUACCGCAUACUAUCGGAUAACCCAUAUGGGAUUAGCUAGUAGGUGAGGUAAUGGCUCACCUAGGCGACGAUCCCUAGCUGGUCUGAGAGGAUGAUCAGCCACACUGGGACUGAGACACGGCCCAGACUCCUACGGAGGCAGCAGUGGGGAAUAUUGGACAAUGGGCGAAAGCCUGAUGCAGCCAUGCCGCGUGUAUGAAGAAGGCCUUAGGGUUGUAAAGUACUGUCAGUAGGGAGGCGUUACCCGCAGAAGAAGCAACGGCUAACUCCGUGCCAGCAGCCGCGGUAAUUC
rnacentral:rRNA from 1 species